rnacentral:rRNA from 1 species
AAUCAACGCUGGCGGCGUGCCUCAGACAUGCAAGUCGAACGAUUAAAGCUCUCUUCGGAGAGUGCAUAGAGUGGCGCACGGGUGAGUAACACGUAAGUAAUCUACCCUCGAGUGGGGAAUAACGUCCGGAAACGGGCGCUAAUACCGCAUAAUGCAGCGGCAUCAUAAGGUGACAGUUGUUAAAGAUUUAUCGCUUGAGGAGGAGCUUGCGGCAGAUUAGCUAGUUGGUAAGGUAACGGCUUACCAAGGCUACGAUCUGUAACCGGUCUUAGAGGACGGUCGGUCACACUGACACUGAAUAACGGGUCAGACUCCUACGGGAGGCAGCAGUCGGGAAUUUUGGGCAAUGGGCGAAAGCCUGACCCAGCAACGCCGCGUGAAGGAUGAAGUAUUUCGGUAUGUAAACUUCGAAAGAAUAGGAAGAAUUAAUGACGGUACUAUUUAUAAGGUCCGGCUAACUACGUGCCAGCCGCCGCCGUAAAAC